UACGGGGGGGGCAGGCGUUGUUCGGAAUUACUGGGCGUAAAGGGCUCGUAGGCGGCCAACUAAGUCAGACGUGAAAUCCCUCGGCUUAACCGGGGAACUGCAUCUGAUACUGGAUGGCUUGAGAUUGGGAGAGGGAUGCGGAAUUCCAGGUGUAGCGGUGAAAUGCGUAGAUAUCUGGAGGAACACCGGUGGCGAAGGCGGCGUUCUGGACUGCUACUGACACUGAGGAACGAAAGCCAGGGGAGCAAACGGG
rnacentral:rRNA from 1 species